rfam:Tncinocarpus reesii 1704 scaffold_1 genomic scaffold, whole genome shotgun sequence.
GGCAAGGUGGCCGAGCGGUCCAAGGCGACAGGUUAAGGUCCUGUUCUCAGAAAUGGGGCGUGAGUUCGAAUCUCACCCUUGUCA